rnacentral:rRNA from 1 species
UGGGGAAUUUGGACAAUGGGCGAAAGCCUGAUCCAGCAAUGCCGCGUGUGUGAAGAAGGCCUUCGGGUUGUAAAGCACUUUUGUCCGGAAAGAAAAUCCUUGGCUCUAAUACAGUCGGGGGAUGACGGUACCGGAAGAAUAAGCACCGGCUAACUACGUGCCAGCAGCCGCGGUAAUACGUAGGGUGCAAGCGUUAAUCGGAAUUACUGGGGCGUAAAGCGUGCGCAGGCGGGUUUGCUAAGACCGAUGUGAAAAUCCCCGGGCUCAACCUGGGAACUGCAUUGGUGANUGGCAGGCUAGAGUAUGGCAGAGGGGGGUAGAAUUCCACGUGUAGCAGUGAAAUGCGUAGAGAUGUGGAGGAAUACCGAUGGCGAAGGCAGCCCCCUGGGCCAAUACUGACGCUCAUGCACGAAAA